rnacentral:rRNA from 1 species
AUGAGCAAGGCCUUGUCUCCACGUUAUCAAGGGAUGUCAACUUAUGAAAAGGAGUUCUUGGCAGUCAUUGUGGCAGUGGAUCAGUGGAGACUGUACCUACAACAUGCAGAGUUUGUGAUAUAUACAGACCAGAAGAGUCUAGUUCAUCUAGAGCAGCAAAGACUUACCACCUGUUGGCAACAAAAAGCUUUCACUAAGCUCUUGGGCCUUCAGUACAAAAUCAGAUACAAAAAAGGCUUGGAAAACACGGCCACGGAUGCUCUGUCUCGUGCGAAACCGUAA